AUUGAACGCUGGCGGUAGGCCUAACACAUGCAAGUCGAACGCGAAAGUCCUUCGGGAUGAGUAGAGUGGCGGACGGGUGAGUAACGCGUAGGAAUCUAUCCUGUAGUGGGGGAUAACGUUUCGAAAGGAACGCUAAUACCGCAUACGCCCCACGGGGGAAAGCGGGGGAUCUUCGGACCUCGUGCUAUAGGAGGAGCCUGCGUCGGAUUAGCUAGUUGGUGAGGUAAAGGCUCACCAAGGCGACGAUCCGUAGCUGGUCUGAGAGGAUGAUCAGCCACACCGGAACUGAGACACGGUCCGGACUCCUACGGGAGGCAGCAGUGGGGAAUAUUGCGCAAUGGGCGAAAGCCUGACGCAGCCAUACCGCGUGUGUGAAGAAGGCCUCGGUUGUAAG
rnacentral:rRNA from 1 species